rnacentral:lncRNA from 1 species
ACGAAUCCUCCACCUCCUUUCGAUGUCACGCUCGCCGUCCCACCACCACACCACGUUUCGAUCCUCUCUCUCUUUGUUGUUGGGUUUCGAAUCUUAUCUCAUCUCGAUCUGUCGAAUAUCAUUCUCAGCCAAAUCUCCUUUAUCCACACAGGAGUUUCCAGCUUAUAUAGAUAUGUUCGUGUUGUUCUUGGAGUUUGGCUAUUUUCGGGGAAUUGUAGAGGACACAGAGAGAAAUGUCUCUUAUGUAUGGGCUCGAGGUCUCCUUGAAGAUCUUGAGAUUGUAAUUGGUUCCGAUAAGCAAUAAUAUAGUACUUGGUUGCUUAUCAAUUGGUGUGGUGAGCCGUUCGAUCGCUGAGAC